rnacentral:tRNA from 1 species
GCGAGUGUAGCUCAGUUGGUAGAGCGUCGGUUUGUGGUACCGAAUGUCGUGGGUUCGAGCCCCAUCACCCGCCCCA